CGAAUUUAAACCAGCUAAGGAUGUGAAAAUUAUUAAACGAAAGGCUGAAAGUUUCGGUUGGGGUGAUAAGAGAGACGAGUAACUUGGAAAAGUGAUGAAGAACUGCCUGAAAGUUUGCUUUGGUGCGUCCGAGUGAACUCGAAUCACCGACCCCCACCA
rnacentral:antisense_RNA from 1 species